rnacentral:siRNA from 1 species
CCCAAUUUUCUUCUUUUCUGC